GGUAUUGUGGCUCAGUGGUAGAGUGCUUGCCUGGCAUGUGUGAGGCCCUGGGUUUGAUUCUCAGCUAUAUAU
rnacentral:tRNA from 1 species